CUUCUGAAGAGAUACAGAGCUGGAAAGGACAAUUUGUUCCUCAUCUUUGGUUCCCUCCUCCUGCAUCACCCCCUGUCUGGGGAAUAGACAUCAUCCCAAAACAAGGUUUUAAUUUAAACCUUCAUUACUUCGUUUCAAGAUGAGGAAUCAGGAGGUGACUUAUUCAAACUCAAGAGAUUUUAGACAUCUUCAGAGUCAUAGAAUCCAGCCAGUCCUGAGGAGACUCAAGGUCCCAGAGAGGCUGGACAAAAAGUGACUUGAACAUAAUGAAUUUCAAUCCUAACUCUAGAAGAUGUGCAUUUUUAUCUAAAACAAGACUUGAUGAUGCUGGAUGUGAUCAACUCUUCCACUGUGUCUGUGAGAAGAGACUUUCCAUUCCCUGAUUCACUCUCCAGCAAAUGGUAAAGGUAAAAUGGAGUGUGCUGAUGCUCAUGUGUUUACUGUAAUAAUCUGUGACUCCUCAUAAACAAGUGUUUUGGUCACAGGACUUAGUCCUCUGUGCACACAGAGAUGACCUGGAAGAUGUUGGGAAUAGUCUCCAAAAUCAAAUUUGACAGCACAGAGGCCAUCUUCCUUCCUGGAUUAGAAAAGAUACAGCUACUCUGGUGCAUGGACACCCUUUGACCCCAGACCCUGUAAAAAUCUGUUCUUUCUGUUUUUUACACACCCAUAAAACUAAAUAAAGAACCCUAAA